rnacentral:rRNA from 1 species
GUCAAGUCAUCAUGGCCCUUAUGUCCAGGGCUACACACGUGCUACAAUGGGCGGCACAGAGCGAGGCGAGCCUGAGAGGGCAAAGCGAAGCGCGGAAAACCGCCCGUAGUUCGGAUUGAAGUCUGAAACCCGACUUCAUGAAGCUGGAAUCGCUAGUAAUCGCGCAUCAGCAUGGCGCGGUGAAUACGUUCCCGGGCCUU